rnacentral:lncRNA from 1 species
AAAAUUUAGACACAAUGAUAAGUAUAUUUGUGUCAUACUUGUAUAUUUUCUAAUGAUAAAAAAUUAGGGAAAAUUAAUCUAGUACUAUAUCUUCAAGUUGCCUUCAACACUGCACCAAAAAUUCUUGAUCUUCAUGGCCUGCACCAAAUAUUCUUUAUCUUCACAGCCUGCAUAUGAAUUUAGAACAAAAAUAUAAUUGUGUUUUGCUCUUAGAAAAAAUAUUAACCACCAUUAAAUAUAUAUCUAGUACUACGAUUACAAGAAUAAUAUGCUAAAAAAAAGUAAAAGUAAAAGAAAAUUUAAAAGAAAAAACUCAAUGAUAUAUUCUGAGAAACUAGUGUAACUAAAAAAUCACAAAACAAAAAGUUUAGAAUUUUAAAAAGAUAGCAAGAGAAAAAUAAAUAAGCAAUAAUAAUAAUAAUAAUAAUAAUAAUAAUAAUAAUAAUAAUAAUAAUAAUAAUAAUAAUAAUUUGAAAAGAAAAUGGCAAAACACAAACCUCUGUUUUUGGUGAGGUUACAAAACUGGGUCAGUGUGCGGUUGGCCAAAAGCUAGAGGUGCAGCCGUGUAGGAGUUGGGUCUUCUUCAAUUGGGAGGCAUUAUUUUAUCAUCUCAAAUCCAACAAAAAAAAAAAAAGGUUAUCUUCAAUUAAUUUUCUAAAAAAUCCAAAUUCACAAUUCAACACAAAAGUUAAAAAUUAAUGAUAUCAAUAAUUUUAGGAGAGAAAUUGGAAACAAAAGAACAAUUAUAACAAAAAUUUAAAAACCCAAAAGCAAAAAUUGGGAAUUACCUUCAUGAAACCAGUUUUUGGGACCCAUCAAUUUCUUCUGUCAAACUAAAGUCAUUUGGAGAUUCAAUUGCUCAACAAGUUAAAGGAUGAUUAUGUUAUAUGAUUUCUAAGGAAAUUUUGAGGGAUUAGGACUUUACUUGCUUUGAUGUGUGAAGACUAGAGAGAGACGGAUUGAGGAGAGAAGAAAACAAAAGCUUUGACUUUGGCUGUUAGGUGAAAGCUGAGAGAGAGGCAAAAG